GACGAACCGUGCGAACGUUGUUCGGAAUCACUGGGCUUAAAGGGCGCGUAGGCGGACCAGCAAGUCGGGGGUGAAAUCGUUCGGCCCAACCGGACAAGGGCUUCCGAUACUGUUGGUCUCGAGGGGGGUAGGGGUCGGGGGAACUAAUGGUGGAGCGGUGAAAUGCGUAGAUAUCAUUAGGAACGCCGGUGGCGAAAGCGCCCGACUGGACCUCUUCUGACGCUGAGGCGCGAAAGCCAGGGGAGCAAACGGG
rnacentral:rRNA from 1 species